UCACCAGUGAGAAUGGGGAUGUGCCCAAAACAAAGGGCUGGGCUACGACAACACAUACUCCUCUACACACCUGCCAACCUUCUGGCCAUCGAGACUUUAUUGCAGUUCAAGCAGGUUGAUUGUGAAUUCUCUCUCAAGGACAUCCGAGCAUCUCCAGCCAACAGGAUGACCCGCGCAGUCUUGUCCAUCCUGGUGAUUUUUGUGUGUCUUGCACAUACGCUGGCCAUCAGACCUAAAUUACUGGAUGACUUCAAGAUGAUGAUUGAAGCUUUGGAUUUGUACUUCAAUUCCUUCAAGGAAGACUUCGAUGUUGAGAUGGCUGCUGACAGCUUAAUAAACGAGCAAAUUCAUAUAUGGGACAAUAUGUUGAAAGUCCUACCAAACAGUGAGCCUGAGUAUGUGGCAGCCAAGAAGCUAUUUGAUGAAUUUAAGGAGUAUAUCCCUGAACUAAAAGCUAAAUGGCUCCCGUCCGCUAAAGACGUUAAGCUCAUUUGGGAGACCUGCAGGAAGGCAAUCAAGGGACUCAAAUUCUUUCAUGAAAACAUGAUGAUCAAAAAUGAAUUAUAAUCACAACUUAUUAACAUUAGCAUUAGUUAAUGCAGUCAUGAGCUUUAUUAUAUAGCAUUAGUAUAGGGGUUUUAGUGAGAGGUUUCUUCAUCGCUGAUGCGUCACACACAGGAUGAUGGAGGCUGGAACCUGUUGGCCCGUGGCAGAAAGUGUCAGUCAGGGUCAGAUAGUUCAGGUUUCUGGCUGCUUUAUUUGUUGUUUUUGUGGUUGUAUCAAGGUUUAACUGAGUGAACAUCUGUACAAAUUAGGGAUGCACCGAAUUUUCGGCCGAAAAUGGCCCAAAAGCGCAUUUUCGGUUUUCGGACGCAAUACUUUUAUCACCGAAACAACACGGCCGAAACAGAAAUAUGUGAUGACGCAAACAAAAAAAACACGGCCAGCACACGCUUGUCUGGAUAAGCGCCAAUAUGUCUGCGGUGUGGACGUUUUUCAAUGUUGCUGAGAAAGACCCACGUAUAGCGAUUUGCAAAAAUUGCAUUGCCUUGAUUUUAAUGAAGUUAGUACACAGUCAUAGGCAUAAAUGCAAUGGUACUAGGGUUGCCGCGGUGUGGACAUUUUCACACCGAGUAAUACACUCAUGUCAACAACGGUAUUAUACCGAGUAUAAACGGUAUAAACUUUGAAACUAGGUCAACCGCCAUCUUCUCCGUCAACUCUCCUCUCACACUUGGUGACAGCGUCUGGCAGCGUGCCAAUUCUCAGUGACAGCGUCUUAUAACAUUCUAUAUAUAAUAGUAUAAUAUCAUUUUAUACAUAAUAUGACGGCCAAAAGCUCUGUGCGCCUCCGGAUGUCCGUUGCGCAGGGAGCUCUCGUAGGGAUUGGGCUACGCGGGGGUUUGUUUACCGGCGUUUCUAUGGUUACCGGUCUUGUGCGUUCCAACGCUUUAUUAGGUAGCCUAUCUAUUAGAAAAAACACAUCAAAAAUAAAACAGUGCAAAGACAAACUGGCAAACUUUUUAUUUUAAACAAAUAGGCCUAAAUAUGACGACGAUGUUUUUUUAUUGCUGGAAAAGAAUAAUACAAAAUAACUCGGUGUUGGCCUCAACACCGGAAACACCGGUAAUACCGCAUACCGCGGCAACCCUAAUUGGUACUAAUAAUU
ensembl:lncRNA